CAGAACUUAGAUUAAACUGCUUGUCAACGGCCUGUUGUCAAUAUAAGUUAAGUGUGGCUGUGUUUUAUCGGCAUUCCAUGUGGACAACUCGUUAUGUUCGUGUCAAAGUUAACAAGCAGUUGACAACGCCUUGAUGUUAAUAAAAGCAAGGCUGCUGUCAUUUAACAGAGUGCCACAUUGACAUCUUCCGCUGUCGAAUUUAACUAGCAGUUAAAAAGAGAUUACUAAACAUUUAAUUCUCGACACGCUCCCAUGUGGAGCACUGUGCGAGGAGGCCACGCAACGGCAUUUGCGGACUUGCUGCAUGCAAAUUGUGGCCAAGCGCGAUGUGUCAACAACUCUCGGCGAUCGCAUUCAAAUUUGGCGUCGUCAGUCGAAUCCUGCUAACCCUGCCCCCGUAGCGCUGUUCGCCUCAGGGCAAUGCACGCGCCAAGGCUUUUCCUUGCAUCGAACCGCUAAUCGCCUGAAUGGGGCAUGGAAAUUGAAAUUGGAAAUUGGAGCUACAGUAUAUAUACGCAGGUGACCGACUUCCCAAAUGCAACGUGAUGUGAGUGAGCUCCACUAAAGGCGAUUUCUGUGCAUUGUCUUCACAGAGGGUGGAGGCGUGCCCGAUGUGAAUACGUUGAUAUUGUGCACGUAGCCCAAAAAUGGAUGCUAUGAGAUGCUUUUUAAUGCUCACUAAAUAAAUACUUAGCAUGCAUGGA